rnacentral:tRNA from 1 species
GUGGUGGUGGUUCAGUGGUAGAAUUCUCACUUUCCACGCGGAAGAUCUGGGUUCAAUUCCCAGCCAAUGCA